UACGUAGGGUGCGAGCGUUAAUCGGAAUUACUGGGCGUAAAGCGUGCGCAGGCGGCGCGUUAAGACAGGUGUGAAAGCCCCCGAGCUUAACUUGGGAAUUGCGCUUGUGACUGGCGUGCUGGAGUGUGGCAGAGGGAGGUGGAAUUCCACGUGUAGCAGUGAAAUGCGUAGAGAUGUGGAGGAACACCGAUGGCGAAGGCAGCCUCCUGGGCCAGCACUGACGCUCAUGCACGAAAGCGUGGGGAGCAACAGG
rnacentral:rRNA from 1 species